rnacentral:tRNA from 1 species
GGAUCCGUGGCUCAGCCUGGAUAGAGCGUCUGGCUUCGGACCAGAAUGUCGUGGGUUCAAAUCCCUCCGGAUCCG